GGUGUCAGACUAACAUUUCCAAGUUGGACAAUGUACAAAUGGUGUUCUUGGACUGGAAUAGAAAUAGAUGAAAGUGGUCUGCUGCAGUGCAAAUAACAAACUGGCAACCAGCUGGUCAUUGGAAAGAGAACGUACUAUGGGAAUACGCUUUCUGCAGAAAUACUUUAUUUUGGAGAUAAGCAUUAACAAUAGGAAGAUGAGGCUCAUUUAACAAGAACCAUAUGGUCUCAUCCUGCUUUUAUUUCACUCGGUAGCAAAGCUCUGAUGAUCUUCUGUGUGUGCAGGGUAGGAAUUGCUGUUCAUAAAUAAGCAAAACAGAUUCAAGGUAGUUGUUUGGAAUUAAAGAGAAAGAGUAAUGCCUGGUCCACUGUUGCCUUUUAAAAGGUAUGAAAGGAAUAGUUUUAAUCCAGAAAACGCUAUUUCGGGAGACAGGAACUGAAAGGAAGAGGAGUUAAAGGUGUUUGUUGGAAAACAACUGAUCAAAUAAGGCUAAGAUCCAUUCAAGACUGAGUUAUCAACCAGUGUGAAACCAACACACAGAUUUCUCCAAGCUGAUUUGUGGCCAGGUUUGUUCCAUAAAAAAUUUGUGUUUUCAUGAUGAGAAAACAACACCCCUUUUUUAAAGCAGUUUUAACUACAUGGUUUAUUCUAUUAGCAACUUCAUCAGAGAUAACAGCAUUUUGCACUCUCGUUUCAGCAUAACAGCAAAAUGGAAUUGAUGCAAAAAGAAAAAGCAACCUGUGGGAACUGCACUGGAAAAUCCUGCUUUGGGAGCUUUUCAAGGGUGUAAAACAUUGUCUGGAGUUUUUUAUUUACUUUUAUGGGUAGGAGGUAAAAAAAGAAGCGAGGAGGAGAAAUCUCAUCCAUACCACAGUUGGAAAGAUGCAGUAAAAAUGGUAAAACUCAUCACUGCAAACUUAUUAUUAUUAUUAUUAUUAUUAUUAUUAUUAUUAUUAUUAUUAUUAUUAUUAUUAUUAUUUAAAGUGACUAAACUUUGUUAUUUUGGUUGCAAGAAGACAGCAAAAUGGAAGUUUCAUUUACUGUAAAAAAGAGAAUUAAGAUUUGAACGUGGAAAAACAUGUGCAGAUCUUGUACUCAGCAGCAGCUCGCUUCUGCCCUUGGAGAUAAUCCCAUUGGUUUCCAUAUGCCUGAAGACAGCUCAGCAGUAUCAAAGUUGCAGUAUAUUACAGGUUUAGAUAUGUAGCAGAAAUGCUGAGUCAUGGCCUGAAGCGGUGAUGGAGCACCUGGGGGGAAGGCAGGGCCAACCCAAGGGAGCUCAGCUGUGUGCAAUGUACCUGAGGGACCAGAAGGUGUAGAGACAGGAUCCACCCCUUCCCAGCUCUCAUUUAAGGGUUGGCAGUGGAGGCAGGAGGGUUUUGUUGGAGAUCCCUGUUUAUUGAGGUCUUCUAAAGGGAGUGGUGGCAGGACCUCAAAAACAGUCCGUGCUGAGGCCUGGUUCUCAGAGGUCGUGCACAACCCUGGUUCCUGUUGGCUUCUGACAGCGUUGUUCACUGGCUGGCAGCAUGUGAGGCUCCUCAAGCUCUUCCAAAGGUUUUUCUGGAGCUCUGGCACAGCUCUCCCAGACACUGGUGGCCGUGGAUCACUGCAAGGAGCAAGGCUGGGGAAAAGCUGGGCCGGAGGAGGGAGCUCCUGGUGGACCACCCCAAUGGAAAGACAGUGACCUUCCUAUACUCACAACAGAAAUGGUCGUCUUCGUAUUUGUUUUUUUAUCUCUUCUUUGCAGUGAGAUUAGUGGUUUUUUCAUGUUUCCGGAGGAGAAACAAAACAAAAGCUCUCAUGUUUUUAAUAGAAACAUGAUAGGAAGGGAAGACAAGUGAGUCCCACUCACUUUUGAUGGAGCAUCUUGAGUGUCAGCUUUCUUUCCUGACCCAGCUCGCCGUGCUAAAGGUGGGCACCCAAGCAAGCUUCAGAAGUUGCUUAGUAUGCCCUGAUUAUUUUUCACCAUUCUAUGUGAACCCAUUGAGAUAUAUGAACUGCAAACAAGAGCAGAUAAUACAGCAAGAGAAAGCUGGAAACGAAACCCCUCCUUUUCUUCCGUACUGGUUGAUUUGCAGUUGAAGAGUGGGAUAUCUUGACUUGUGGCUGUGAUUUUUGUAUUAGUGACAAGAAAAAUAGUUUAGAAGUGCAUUUUGGGGUGAUUUUCAGGUGGUGGUGUCUUUUUUCUUUGUUCAGAUAGGCAAUCGUUUGCCAUGUGGAUGCAUGUGUGAGAUCACUACCUCACAUUAGCACCAGCCCACACAAAUGAAGCCCUGUGACACCAGACCAAACUGCCACUGGAUGUUCUAGGUGCUGCAAGUGCUGGCCCUGCUCACGUCUCAAUUCUGGCAGCAGUGAGGUAGUUAUUUCCAAGUACACACAUAUUUAAAUAUGUAUGGUUGCAGCCAAGUUUCUUAACUGCGAUCAUUGUAGAAAGCAAAGCGUGUGAACCACUGGGAUUCCACUGCUGCUCAUUGACCACCAAAAGUUCCUGCACCAACCUGGAGGUGUGAGCACCUCCACUCCUCUGUGAAGGGGCUGCCUCCAUGCUUUCUUCACUACUCUCUCAGCUGGCCUUAAUAAAAGCUGUAACCUCUCCAUAGAUGCAUCAUCUGGUCUGUGUGAUACGUGCAUUGCAGCCUGCCUCCUGCCUAGAUGGUAACCCAGUGGGUCUGCCAUGUUUUCUUUCUGGGGAAUUUAAGCAACCCUCUUGCAGUUUGCUUUGCCUGUGGUCUGCUUUGGCAUUUUUUUCAUCUACAAAUAUUAAAUGCAACCCCUCUGCCCUCUUCAAUGCAUGUGAAAGCAAACAAAAUAGAUGAUAACAUAAUGGGGUUCUUCCUUCAUGUUCACACCUUAAAACUUUCUAUUGAGACCUUCCAGCAGCGUUUGUAAGUGCCCUCUAGGGCUCUGAAUGGAUUUAUUGAUGGUAACUAGAAGAAAAAAUGGAGAACAGAAUGAAAUCCCUGGAGAUAUGAGGUAUGUCACCAGCUUCCCAAAAUUAUUUGCAAACGAUUUCUGCCAGUAUCAAUAAAUCCCUCUAAUUUCAGGAUAGGCUACAUUAAUUAUAGGUUGGCAUCGGUCAUGUAAAGGUUGCUGAAAGUUAUAUCUGCAAUCUGUCAUGUUCAAAUUGUACGUUUGUGUGGGAUAUUUGUUAUUUUAAUACAUGGGCAUACAUAUGAGCAGCAAGAGCGUCCAUGAUGUUUUAAUAGGCUUUUAUUAGUCGUACUCUCCUUGUAAUCUUGUUUUACAGUAUGUGCGCUCAAUGUGUUUGUGUCUAUGCUCUUCAUGCACACAUCGCAGGAUGCCAAAACAUCAUUCUGCUUCCUUGUUUCCAACCACUUAGUCAGGCAUUUGAAUGCUUUCCAAACCUUGUUAAAAACCAGAAAUAGCACUAUCACUUCUUGUUCUUGCUGGGCUGCACAGAAGGGGGCAGAUGGAGUGGGGCUGGGGGGAGCAGUGAGAGGGUCCAGGGGAGGUAUGGAACUCAAGGUGAGCAGCAGAGGUAGGACAAGCCUUGGUGCUGUGAGGCCCAGGCCUGCUCUGGAGAUCUGUGCUGGGAAAGUGAGGCCUGGGUUUGUUGCAAUGAUGCUCCGUAUGCUUAUAGGACUAACACUUCCCUGCCCAGAAAUGGCAGGGCACUUAUCUGAGUUGAAGAGGAGUUGGCUGUGUUUAGAUUUUAUGCUACAUCCUGUUUUCUUUGCUCUUCUUCUCAGUUGUUUGUUUUCUCUAUUGUUAUGUUGUGGUUUUUUGUUUUUUUGUUUUUUUUCCCCCCAGGAAAAUGUGAGGUAUUUUUAUUUUUAUUUAAUUCAUUUUAUUUUCUCUCAGCUUUCUUUCUCUGAUGCUAAACUAAUCAGACAGACUCAGUCUAGAUUCAGUAGAUGUUGUGAAUGUCCAUUUCUGGUGAGGAAAGAAUUGCUCCUGAGAGUAUUCCAAGUGUUUCAGUCAGGUGCAUCCCUCUUAGGAUGGUGUAAUGGGCUGAUCCUUGCUUCUACAGAACAUGUUCUUACUGCUUUGACAUCUCUUUGUUUGUACUUAAAGUAGAUGCUUUCUGGCAUGCAUCUCUUAUGUAGUAAAGCAUCACUGUUGGUUGGAGCUUGAAGAUAGUGCUCUGAUUUACCAAGCACAAUAUCUACAAGUAUUAAUUAGUUGGAUGUUCACUGCCAGCAAAAGGACACUGAUUCCCAUGGGCUUCUCUUGCAGAUUUGGAGUCUCCAGAGUCUGCUGAGGCCACACCACCACCACCUACAUCACAGAAAGCCACUGAGGCCAUGCCUUGCUUCCCUUUCUCCAUGGGAUGGGAACGCCUUUCCAGAUCAUUCCAAUGGACCAAUGGCUUUAAAGGCUUCUAUGGGCACAGCUACAAUCUGUAGCCCUAAGAAACCCAGGUAAAAGUAACAUUGCCAUCCAGAAUAAUUUAUUUUCCAGCUGGUUUUCCCCUCCUAGAAGCUUGCCCAGAUGGCAGGCUAGAUUCAGUGUCUUCUUGCUGCUCAAAAAGCAAAGGGCGCUGGUGAACCACCCCAUUUUUAUCCUGUGAUUGGUGCAUCUAGGAUGGAGAACAUGCCACAUGGACACAUUUUAAAUUGCAAUUGUAAAAUGCAGUAGUACAUACAUAUUUGUAUGUUUGUUUAUUUUAUGUAAUUAGAACAGCAAUGGCCUCAUUUAGCUCAAGAACAACACACUGUUGGAAAGUGAAAUAUGUUUGGUAAUAAUGAUGGUGGGGGAAAAUAUCUCUUUCCUAAGAAAACCUGAUAUGUAAACACACAAUGCAGCAUAGGGCAUAUCUUUAUUUCACACAUGAGAAGUUGAUGCAAGUGAAGAAAAUUCUGAGGUUUUUUUUCUUUCCUACCCCCAAAGAAACAUAAUCCAGAGUUUAUAUCAGAUGGUUUAUGGGAGUUUAUUGGAAUAUCCAACAGGGUUCAUGUAGUGUGUCAUAAGGUAAAGCCUGUUCAUUGGUGAUUUACAAGCAGUGUGUGCCGGUGUUACUGUAAUUUAUAGACCACAGAUGGUCAGGGGGUGCCCCUGCUGACUUGGAGCUGAAUAAGAAGCUGAGCCCUGCGUGUCAUCUGCUGCGGGUACCUCCGGCUCACUUCCCCAAAUUAGCCUUGGUGGGGAUCUGCCUCCCGACUUGGAGGGUCCCAAGCCUUCUGUGAUGCAAGCUGAGGUUCCUUUGGGAGGGGAGGGACAGCAAAUGUUUAAGAGUGGGUGGAAAAAGAGCAAAAAAACCUGAGAACAUUGGAACAGCGCUGGAGGAAAAGUGCUUUUUACGAUAACAGCCUCCCUUCUCAAGGCUGGUAUUUCUCGAUGGGCUUUUGUAGCUUGUUAAAUGGAGAAGGGGGGAAAUGUCCGAAUGUCAAUCCCCCUUUCUUAAUCUGUUCUAAGACAAACAUCUCCUCCACCAAAAUUUAUAUAUAUAUAUGUAAAUUUCCCUUGUAACAACCUCUGAGAUAGAUCAUAUCUUUGUUCCCAUCACUUUACCCUUUUAGGUAACUGCUUGUUAAUGGCAUCCCGCAUUUUGCUAAGACUUGCUCACGCCAAGUUUACCCAAGCCUUUUCUUCUUUAGACCUCAUUAAAUAAUUGCCUCAUUACCACGGCACCUCAUGCUGCUUGCAUGGGGACCCACUGCUCGCAGAGGAUCAUAUUCUGUCAAAGAAGCUCUGAGCUGGGAGGAUACUUUGGGGUUCUUUCCAUGCUUGACACCUGUUGCCAAACACAGUGAGAAAUGCCUCCAUGUAAACACGCAUCCCAGCUCACAACCAAGUGGGUGAUUUCUUUCUUCUCUCUCAGAGAUCAAAGGUGUAGGGGAAUUUUGUGGCUUCUCUAGUUAAUAAACAGGAAAAAAAAGCAUUUUAUUUUCCUUAUCCAGAGGUUAAAAAAAAAAACAAAAAAAACACCCUAUAGACAAAAAGACCAGAAGGAGAGCUGUAAUGGAAAUAAAAUUGACAGCCUCUCAAAACUCAGGUGGCAUUUUCCUUUUCCAGUUAAUUACGGUUUUAAUUACACGGCUUCUUGUGACUCCUUGAUACCUAAUAAAGUAGACUCUGUGGGCCGGCAAAGUUGAGUUUUGCUUGAACUGCAGGUGUAAGGCUCAGCAUGAAGCAUAAAUCAACUUCUUAAACAUGUUCCCAGGGUGUGUUCAGGCUUUUUCUUCCUAUUUGCUUGUAAAAAAUCAGAUCUUUUCACCAUAGUUGGUUAAAAAAAGUAAUGAUUGGAGCUACAGUACUGCAAGUAUAAGCUUUGUGUGGUGGGUUGUAGAAAUCCCCUUCCAGUAGGGAAAAAGAAAAAAAGGAUUGAGUUAUUUGGACUUCAGCCUGAUGGUUUUUAAAGGAGUGGUACAUUACCUACAUUGCUUCUCUCAUUAUCCUUUCUUUCAUAUUUAAGAUAGAAAAGGGUAAAUACGCUAAAAAAAUAAAAGCAAGGAGAGAUUGGGGGGUGGAAAAUAAGGGCUGCUCAGCCCACAGGCACCACAGUCUGGGUUUGCCCUUUGUGUGCUGCCCUGUGUGUUGCUACAGCUGAAGGUUGAGGAUGGUCCUCGUGCUCCACAGGACUCAGUUCUGGUGAUGCUGAAGGCAGAGGUACCGGAGGUACUGGAGACGUGACACUGUAGUGUCACCUGCCCCGUGCUGAUGUCACUGCCACAUGGACUGCUCUGCCAGCCCCAGUCCUUGGGAGCCCGGAGCCACAGCACUGAGGCUUUGCAGCCCAAAGCAUGAAGCCAGAGCAGGCACAUCCUGUCCCGGCAGCCCAGCCUUCCUAAAUACCAGCCUCAGCAAUCAGAGCUAAAUGGGGAUGCCAAAAAAUGCCCAAACCCUGCUACCAAUCCAGAGGGGAAAAAGAAGAAAUCUUCCUCCCUCCCAACCAACUAAAAUGUCUCACCAUCUUUUUCAAUUAGUCUUGGUUAUAUUUUUGUAAGAACUCAGAGAGGCAAUUACAGAGUUUGGCUUUUCCAGACUGGGAAAGGCAGGGCAGAGCUGAGGGAGUAAGGGAAGGGAGGGGGAGCAGCAGUGAAAUGAAGACACGAAAGCCCCAGACAUAAGUGUGCUUUAUUCUAGCACUGCAAGAAGCAUGGAGAGCAAGAACAAAGAAAAAAAACAAAUCAAAUAGCUGAAGUAUUUUGUUUCUUAACAAUGAAAUGAAGCAGAACUUCCCUUCCAGCUGGAUUGGAGCACGCGUUCUGUGUGCUCUGCAGUGUUCUUCUGUGAAAGCUUCCAGGCCAGGAGACUAAAAGUAGUGUGUGUAUAAGGGCGAGGGCUCUGGUUUCUCUAUGAGUUGAGCUGCCUGCCCCUAGCACCAAAACCCUGUGCUGUUCAGGCACUGGCAAUGUGGCCUGAAGACUUGCAAUGCAGCUCCAGCAUGGAACUGGAUAGCUGCAUUUAGUAGUGGCAGAACAGAGUGCAUGAAGGAGUGUUCACCACAGAGUGAUCCUGUCAGGAAGGUGGCCUGGAAGAGGUUUCCGUUCCAAACUGAUCACCAGUGCUGGGAACCCCAUGCAUAUCUGUACAGGUCUGUGCAGUGCACAGUGUGGAGAAGCAACAGUAGUGUGCAACAAAGACUCAGGAGAUCCAAGAGGCUUAGGAAAUCCAAAAGCAUUGAAUAAAAUGGUUGAGGGAAAAAUUUAAGUUAUUUGAAGUUUGGGGGAGAUUCAGCAAUUCGUGAAGAUCCUACCUCAGAGACACGUGAGAGCAAUGGCAAAGGCUGUGAAAGAUGAGCGUGUACGCAGCCAAGGAGCCCAACGGGAAGAUCUAUUGCCUUUGGGGAUCUAUUACUUCCUGGUUCAGCCAGUCCAUCUAACCAGCUUGGCUUGUUUUUAAGCUAGACCCUCUCUAACUCAGCCUGAGCUCACCUGAGCAAUCCUAGUUUUCUAACUAGGGGCAAUGUGAGUUAUGAUUUACUGGAUUGCUGUGGCAAGCGCAAUGUGAUAAAAACCCGACCUGUCUGAUGUGUAUGGGCUACUGUAUGAUAAAUAUUUAAUAAGUUGUAUGGAAAGAAAAGAACUAUAGGGCUUACAGGAAUCAUAUUAAAGCAACAAAGUAAAUACAAAGAAGGUUAAAGUGUCUAACUCUAUACGCUUGAAGGGCUAAAGCAAACCAGAUCUCUUUCUAGAUUCUUUUUCCAUGUACAGAAGUAACUGGGCUGCAUAAAAAUAAGGCGCGACAGGGAAAAAAAAGAAGAGAAAGAUCUAAAGCAUUUGUUUGGCAUUAAUAGCAAUUGCAAGAAAGCCCUGGAACAUUUAAAGAGAAUUAGAAAGGAAUCAGAAGGAGAGCACUUUCCAUGGCCGCGUGCACAUUUGGGUAUCUACAAACUGCCUACAUCUGAACGAGCAGAACAGCCUUGAUCAUCCAGAGCUUUAAAAUCAGAAGAAAAAGGCUUUCCUGUUUGGUCUCUUUUAUUCUCACUCAUACAUAAGAUUUUCAUUCUUCUGCCUGCUCGAUGGUGAAGUAACAUUUAUUUUGGCAUGGAGCUUGUGAAGCACUUGGAAGGGCCCAGCGGGGCAAGUAGAUAUGGUGCACCCACUGGGACAAGCAAACCUGCUCUACCUUUGGGAAUCACGCCAGGGGGGAUUUUGUUUGGUUGGGGUGUUUUUCCAUUCUAUGUUGUUUCCAUGGGGUGGAUGUACAGUGAGUCUAAAGCAGGAAGGCAAAAAACAAGCAGGCAUGGCUUGCGUGCCCUUCUUCCUACUACGUCUCUGGGGAAGAAGCCUUCAAGAGCUAUUCCUUGCCAUUUGGUGGGAGCGUGAGGAAAUCCUGAGCUGGUUUCAGACCAGGUUUCCAAACAUUUCCUUGCAGUUUCUUCUAGUGAUGGUUAUGAUUGCAGGACCCACAAGCCUAUCUCUGAAUCAUGACAUGGAUUCCUGCUGUGACCUGUGGAAAAGGUAAUGAUCCUGCAGGGGAUCUUUUAUUGAGAAGAGCUUUCUGCACACCCCUAUUCUGGCCGUCUGCAACCAAUGCAAAGAGGGCUGGAUUCACCUAUCCAAACGCAUACCUUUUUCACUGAUGACCUUUUUUUCCCCCCUUUCUGCAGUAUUUUCUCUGCUGCAGCUAUCAUCCUAAAUAAAAUCAGCCCACCAGUGGUGGAGGCUUUACAGUGCAACAGAGAACUAUUUUGAAGGUACAAAUCACUUGACCUAAAGAAUCUCCCUGGAGUGUCGGUGCUAUGCGCUACAUUUUUGCUCUGCUGAAGCCUUUAUUUAGCACAUGCUAAAGAACAUUUAACAUUUAAAGAUCCCCUCUGCACAUCCUCCAAAUGUCUCCAUCCUUUUCUCCCAGAUUAAUAUGUCUUCUGUGAAAAUGAGAUAAUUGAUUGCAGAGCCAUAUUAUUUACAAAUGAAGUGUUGUUCUUGUAUUGACCUUUCAUUUCUAUAGCUCAAUACUAGUUCUUGUACAGCAUUUAUAAUUAGUGAGAUAGUAACAGAAUUAGAAGAAUCAGAGGGAGGAAAAGGAGUUCCCAUGGAUGCUUUUGAUGAAAGGAAACUUGAGGAUGAGUUACCCUUUUAAAGCUGCAAAACUUCACAUAACCAGAACUGAUAAAGUCGGUGUCUUGAAUAAGCACAGAACAGCCAAGCUUCCCAUAGCAGCACAGAUGAAACAUGGGUACUGCCAUCAGUCAUGCUCUCUCAUGAGAGCCUCUCCCAGGCUUAGAAAAGGUGAGAUUUAAAGAAUAAACUGAAAUUUAUCCUUCUGUGGGUCUGCUGCAGUUCCCAUGUAAAUACCAGGGU